rnacentral:rRNA from 1 species
GAUGAACGCUGGCGGCGUGCCUAAUACAUGCAAGUCGAGCGAACGGACGAGAAGCUUGCUUCUCUGAUGUUAGCGGCGGACGGGUGAGUAACACGUGUAUAACCUACCUAUAAGACUGGGAUAACUUCGGGAAACCGGAGCUAAUACCGGAUAAUAUUUUGAACCGCAUGGUUCAAAAGUGAAAGACGGUCUUGCUGUCACUUAUCGAGGGAUCCGUGCUGCAUUAGCUAGUUGGUAAGGUAACGGCUUACCAAGGCAACGAUGCAUAGGCGACCUGAGAGGGUGAUCGGCCACACUGGAGCGGAGACACGGUCCAGACUACUACGGGAGGCAGCAGUAGGGAAUCUUACGCAAUGGGCGAAAGCAUGACGGAGCAAGACCGCGUGAGUGAUGAAGGUCUUCGGAUCGUAAAACUCUGUUAUUAGGGAAGAACAUAUGUGUAAGUAACUGUGCACAUCUUGACGGUACCUAAUCAGAAAGCAACGGCUAACUACGUG